CCUACGGGGAGCAGCAGUGGGGAAUAUUGGGCAAUGGGCGCAAGCCUGACCCAGCAACGCCGCGUGAAGGAAGAAGGCUUUCGGGUUGUAAACUUCUUUUCUGAGGGACGAAGAAAGUGACGGUACCUCAGGAAUAAGCCACGGCUAACUACGUGCCAGCAGCCGCGGUAAUACGUAGGUGGCAAGCGUUAUCCGGAAUUAUUGGGUGUAAAGGUCGUGUAGGCGGGAACACAAGUCAGAUGUGAAAACUCAGGGCUCAACCCUGAGCCUUCAUUUGAAACUGUUUUUCUUGAGUGCUAGAAAGGCAAUCGGAAUUCCGGGUGUAGCGGUGAAAUGCGUAGAUAUACGGAGGAACACCAGUGGCGAAGGCGGAUUGCUGGACAGUAACUGACGCUGAGGCGCGAAAGCGUGGGGAGCAAACAGGAUUAGAUACCCCGGUAGUC
rnacentral:rRNA from 1 species